rnacentral:rRNA from 1 species
AGUAUUAAAGGUCCUGCCUGCCCAGUGAAACAUUUUUUAACGGCCGCGGUAUUCUAACCGUGCAAAGGUAGCGUAAUCACUUGUCUUCUAAAUAAAGACUAGUAUGAACGGCUAAAUGAGGACAAGCCUGUCUCUUAUGCCCCAUCAGUGAAAUUGAUCUUCCUGUCCAAAAGCCGGGAUACCAACAUAAGACGAGAAGACCCUGUGGAGCUUAAAACAAACCAUCAACAAUAGUCAAUAACUAACAUGAUAAUGAGUUUUGAGUUGGGGCGACUUCGGAAAAAAACAAAACUUCCGAGCACAGAACCAUCACUUCAAACAAGGCCAACAAGCCAAAAAACUUGACCCAGUCACACUGAUCAACGAACCAAGUUACCCCAGGGAUAACAGCGCUAUCUUCUUCAAGAGUCCAUAUCGACAAGAAGGUUUACGACCUCGAUGUUGGAUCAGGACACCCCAAUGGUGCAGCCGCUAUUAAAGGUUCGUUUGUUCAACGAUUAACAGUCCUACGUGAUCUGAGUUCAGACCGGAGCAAUCC